rnacentral:lncRNA from 1 species
CUUCUCUAAAAACAGCACUCACCAUCCAUCUGAAUAGGUAAAAGGAGGAGUGGACAGAAAAUAAAAUAAAAUUGGUGCAACUUCUCGCCAGGUGGCGCAUUAAACCAAAGCUCCAUACAGUCCCGUAUGACUACACGUCCUGUGGUGGCAGCAUAAUUUCUUUCAGCUUUCAUAGCUGUAUAUGCCUGUAUGUAUAUCUGAACGUAUACAUACACAUACACACAUAAUAUAUAAUAUUGUUUUUAAUGUUAGUUUUGAUCCUGUAGGAGGGCUCAUCUCUCUUUCACGUGGUUCUGUGCUCCUGCGCUGUUGCUGCUCCCGUUGCCGCUCCCAUUACUGCUGCUUCCGCUGCUGCUGCAGAGGACCUCUGUGAGGUCGUCCAUGAUGGUGGUCUCUUUAAGGUCCACCAGGUUGAACUCCCUGAUGAAUAGGAUAAAAUGUGUGUAGAGCGUGUUUAAGUGUCCGUGCAGCUCCAGUGCCAAAGUCUCCUUAAAGUGUGAGGAGUAGAUAUGGGCCAGCACGUGGAACAGGUACUUGCAGAUCUUCUUCACUAAGGACUCAAACGAGUUUGGAAAUUCUUUGCCGUAUUUUGUUGGAAAGACGUCCUCAUCUGUCACAAGUUUCUGCACUGAGCUCAUGACGAAGUCAACGUACUGAGGAGCAGUGCAUUUGAUCUUCUUCCCCCGCUCGUCAUACCAGUAGUACUGUGUAUUGCACACUGCCAUGGUCUGACACGACUCUCCUGUACAGAAUUCUGAGAUUGUACUAUAUUGUAAGUUGAUGUGAUGAAAGAAAGUUGUUGUGUUGCUGGCGAGCCACUCGUUGAGGUCUAUUUCUCGUGGUAGCAUCACCAGCUCCUUAAAUUCAAAGUCGGUAAUUCUGGAUUUUGUGUAUUCUGGCUCUAGGUAAAGUUUCUUCUCUUCCGGCGCUGGCUUUUUACCAUUUGGCUUUCCCUUGGACUUCCGCAGCACCUUGCCCACCGCCUGCAGCACCAUCUUGCAGCUCAGUCCGGCCUUGGGGCUCUGCGCGUGGACGGGCCGUUCGGCGGGCAGGCUGCACUGAUCCCCGACCAUGGUCCGGCGGAGCGGGGCGCCGCGGGGCACGGCUCGGCGCACCGCGGCCUCUCGCCGCUCUCCC